GAAUAUAUAGCUCAAUUGGCAGAGCAUCCGGCUGUUAACCGGAAGGUUGUGGGUUCGAGACCCUCUAUAUCCGCUA
rnacentral:tRNA from 1 species